UACAGAGACUGCGAGCGUUAUUCGGAUUCACUGGGCGUAAAGGGUGCGCAGGCGGCCAUGUGUGUGAGGCGUGAAAGCCCGGGGCCCAACCCCGGAACUGCACCCGAUACUGCCUGGCUGGAGUCCCGGAGAGGAUGGCGGAAUUUCCGGUGUAGAGGUGAAAUUCGUAGAUAUCGGAAGGAACACCAGUGGCGAAGGCGGCCAUCUGGACGGUGACUGACGCUGAGACGCGAAAGCGUGGGGAGCAACAGG
rnacentral:rRNA from 1 species